rnacentral:rRNA from 1 species
CCUACGGGUGGCAGCAGUGGGGAAUAUUGGGCAAUGGGCGCAAGCCUGACCCAGCAACGCUGCGUGAAGGAAGAAGGCUUUCGGGUUGUAAACUUCCUUUCUAAGGGACGAAGCAAGUGACGGUACCUGAGGAAUAAGCCACGGCUAACUACGUGCCAGCAGCCGCGGUAAUACGUAGGUGGCAAGCGUUAUGCGGAUUUACUGGGUGUAAAGGGCGUGUAGGCGGGACUGCAAGUCAGAUGUGAAAACCACGGGCUCAACCUGUGGCCUGCAUUUGAAACUGUAGUUCUUGAGUGCUGGAGAGGCAGGCGGAAUUCCUGGUGUAGCGGUGAAAUGCGUAGAUAUUAGGAAGAACUCCGGUGGCGAAGGCAGUCUGCUGGACAGCAACUGACGCUGAGGCGCGAAAGCGUGGGGAGCGAACAGGAUUAGAUACCCUGGUAGUC